rnacentral:rRNA from 1 species
GGGCCCGCACAAGCGGUGGAGCAUGUGGUUUAAUUCGAUGCAACGCGAAGAACCUUACCAGGGCUUGACAUACUACAGAUCCUGUUGAAAAACAGGAGUGCCUUCGGGAAUGUAGAUACAGGUGGUGCAUGGCUGUCGUCAGCUCGUGUCGUGAGAUGUUGGGUUAAGUCCCGCAACGAGCGCAACCCUUAUUUUUAGUUACCAAUUCGUUGGGUUCUCUAGAAAGACUGCCGGUGACAAACCGGAGGAAGGUGAGGAUGACGUCAAGUCAGCAUGCCCCUUAUGUCCUGGGCUACACACGUGCUACAAUGGUUAAGACAAAGAGUCGCGAGCUCGCAAGAGUCAGCUAAUCUCAUAAACUUAGCCCAAGUUCAGAUUGUAGGCUGCAACUCGCCUACAUGAAGUUGGAAUC